AUGGCUGGCUUGGUGACUCUGACUGCACCUCUUCUUGUGUUGGUGUGUUAGAAAUAAUUGUUGCUUUUUGUACCCAUACCUAUUUGGACGGCGAGGUGGACUUUGAUGAGGGAGCUCCAUCUUCAAUGAUGUCUUCUUCUUGUUCUUCGGGAGUUGGAUCACUCCUCAAUACUUCUUCAUAGUCAGCCCAUCCGUAUUUUAGGAUUUGUCUUGUUUGAUGUCGAGAUCGGUGCCUCCUUGAUUUGUUCUUCUUGGGUUCUUCACAAAUUGUAUAAUUAGUGAAAUAUCGACAUACCUUCUUAGAUGGGAAUUAGAAGUGAACUUCUCCCGUCCCAAUAUAGAUGAUUGCUCUAUGGUGUUGAGGAACGGUCUUCCAAGGAUGAGUGGCAGAUCAUAGUCAUCU
rnacentral:lncRNA from 1 species